rnacentral:tRNA from 1 species
GAUUCCGUAGCUCAGCUGGUAGAGCAUCUGACUUUUAAUCAGAGGGUCUUGGGUUCGAGUCCCAACGGAAUCAC